rnacentral:precursor_RNA from 17 species
UAAAUACGGAGGAAUAUCAGACUUAUGGGAAAGGUCCAACCUCAUAUGUCCUGUAUUGUUGAAAGUGGGAUGUACGUGGUUAGAUCUAUCCCAGAGGUCAUGUAUUCCUGCAUGUCAAGA